GUUCCCGGUGAUGAUUUUAUGUAGACCAUGCUAAUGCUGAUUCUCCCAUGAUUAUAUCACCUUCUUUUCUCAUUUUCUGAGGGAACU